UUCAUUAUCCAUUCAUCAGUCAAUGGACACUUUGGCUGCUUCCAUAAUUUGGCUAUUGUAAAUUGCCCUUCCUUUUUAAAAAAAGUAAUACCCAAUUGACCAAACAUACAGUCUUACAGUAGUGGGGAUAUUAAAUGAUUUGACUAGUUCAGUCACUAAACUAAACUGCCAAAGUCUGACAUACAGGUGAUUUUCAACUGAUGUUUACUGAGCACUUACCGUGUACCAGGUUCUAUCCCAAAUGCUUUACAUUCAUCAUCUCAUUCAGUCUUCACAGCCACUUUAAGAGCAAACUGAGUUUGGGGCACCUGGGUGGCUCAGUCAGUUAAGCGUCUGACUUCGGCUCAGGUCAUGAUCUCACAGUUCAUGAGUUCUGGGGAAGAAACAAGGUGAGGCUGGAGAGAGGAGAAAACCCAGAUGGUGAAAGGCCUUUUGUACCCAAUGCCAACGAGAAUGAACUUGAUCCUGAAGGCAAUAGGGAGCUAGCGGAAGAGAGUGUGUAGGGAGAGAGUGU